rnacentral:lncRNA from 1 species
UUUUUAAUGUAAUCGAGUGCUUUUUGAAUCCUUAAACGGCCUCUGCUGUCUCAGAAAUAAUGGAAUUGGAAAGCUGUGGAGGUGGGCGAUGCUCACACGGACGGACGGAUGGUUUGUUUUGUUGAACCCACCCUGGUGCCUCCGACCAGAAACAGCCCCGGGUGAGGGUGUGGAGGGAGGCGGGGCGGGGGGGGCAGGGCUGUGGGAGGUUAAAGUUUUUGGGGGGGGAUCCCAUAAUCGUGUGAUUUUUAUGAACAUCCACUGCAAAUGCCAGGUGGGAGAAGGCGAGAGGCGACUAGACCCAAGAAAGGGGCUUCCGGUCCGCCACCUGCAAGGACAAAAGAGGGAAGGAAGUAAGAGUAUUUUUUGAUAGCACCAGAAAUUUACAACUUCUGCUUAUCUCCCAUACCCCUCCUUUUCUUUCUCCUCACAGCAUUUAUAACCACCUGAUAAUGUGUAUUUCACAUAUUUAUUGGGUUCUCUCCCCACCGGAUACAAACCUAGGAGAGCUGGGGGUUGCUGUGUCCUGUUCUUCCCUGGAGCCUAGUACAGUACCUGGCAAAGUACUGGAGGCUUUGUAAAUAUUUACUGACAUCGGUGAUUAAGAAGCAGACGUGACACAUUUUUUUAAAGACACCGGGAAGAGGAACACGAAACCAAAAGCCGCCCGACACGCAAGGAGCAUCCAUGUCUUCAAACCCGCUCUUUCCGUUGUGGAACGACAAUUGAUAAGGACAGCCAAGAGAGAGUCAUACCGCCGUUCCAUUUUCCAAAGAAGAACAAGAAAAUAAUUGAGCUCGCGCUUCCAGGGCGCUCUCCCUCCAUUCUGGGGAUUGGUUGUGCGAGUGAGGGGAGCCUCCCGAAAAUCUGUGGGGAACAUGGAAGUCCUUUUCUUUUCCUACGUAACCCUCGGCACAUGCUCACCUGUCUGCUGAGCACGACACGGGGCUUUGGGACAUUCAGAACAGGAGAUACGUGUCAACGUUCCGUAAAUAUUUUUCUGUUCCGGAGUGUCUAGGUCAUGUACAGUACACAUGUGGGGAAUGUGUUUCACAUGAAAAUUAAAUCCCUUUUUUAUACCUGAACAUCCUUUUUAUACCUG